GGGCAUCUUGAAUCGCCCUGCAUCAAACACAAAUAUCCUUUGACAUCCAAUUAAGAUGCAGAUGAGUGUGUGUCUGGCUCCUUACAACUUCCUCUUUUGCUACAUUUUUCUUUAGGAUUUGAAUCCCUAUCCAUUUAUUAAUUGGUUCUCUAUGUAAGACGCGCAACUUAUGCUGUGCAACAUUAUGCAUCUUUCUGUUAACAUUUAUAGAACAUUCUUACAUAUGUAUAUUUUUUUCGUAUUAUUUGUUGUUUAGCUCAUUAUCAAUGUUUAUAUUCACUGUUUAUCAGCAAUUUAGCUUGAAUUCAUCUAUGGACAGCUUAUGCCCUGCAUGUUGAUUUUGCGUAGCCUUGUAAUUAAUUUGUUUUGGGCGUCUUAGCUGUUUGUUGCCUUUGGAGAAUCCCUUUCUUGCCAGCACAUAUUGCUUUCUUAAGAUUUUCUUACCGGAGUUUUGAGUGCAUCAAGCAUGAUUUUUAGUCAGAUUUUUUAUAACAAUUUCUGCUUCCCGCCAAAUAUGAUCUUCUUGCGUCAAAUAUGGGAAAAGAGUGCCCCUUAGAUACUGAAUAGUCAAGAGCGGAAUUUUGGUGAUGAGAAUGCUGCCGAGCUGUUCUUGAUGCAUUGGAUAAUAUGCUAAAGGACAGUAUAUAGCAUCUGCGGAUAAUGACGUGGGAUUUGAUAUCAUAAACUAAGGAAUUUGAGAGAUAUGGAACAUGGUCAACAUCACUGUAGAAUUUAUUUGCAGCCACAUGGAGUUAUGCGUAUCUAACUCUGCCUGCGCGGGCUGAAUACAUUCAGGUUCCUGUUCAUUCAUGCUUAUUCUUGUUUGUAAUUAUGCGGAGAACAAUUUGGCAAAGAAAUGAUACAGAAGCAUGGUUGUGAUACUUAUUGGGGCCGCAUGAGGCUUAUGGUGUCUUAUUUGUCAGACUCAGCACUGUUGAGCGGGGCAAGGAAUUGUUAUCUCAAGAGACUUUGUGCUUUGAAUCACUCUGAGAAUAAGUGAUGUUAGAGCUGUCUUUCAAGGUCCAAGUCAACUGUUUCCGGAUUAAAUG